GCGACCUGAACUCAGGCGAGAU
rnacentral:rRNA from 1 species